UACGAAGGGGGCUAGCGUUGCUCGGAAUCACUGGGCGUAAAGGGUGCGUAGGCGGGUCUUUAAGUCAGGGGUGAAAUCCUGGAGCUCAACUCCAGAACUGCCUUUGAUACUGAAGAUCUUGAGUUCGGGAGAGGUGAGUGGAACUGCGAGUGUAGAGGUGAAAUUCGUAGAUAUUCGCAAGAACACCAGUGGCGAAGGCGGCUCACUGGCCCGAUACUGACGCUGAGGCACGAAAGUGUGGGGAUCAAACAGG
rnacentral:rRNA from 1 species